rnacentral:tRNA from 4 species
AAUAAGGUGCCUGAGUAAAAGGGCUAUCUUGAUAGGAUAGAUUAUACAAUAAAAUUGUUCUUAUUA